GAUGAAGAACGAAGCGAAAUGCGAUAAGUAAUGUGAAUUGCAGAAUUCAGUGAAUCAUCGAAUCUUUGAACGCACAUUGCGCCCCCUGGUAUUCCGGGGGGCAUGCCUGUCCGAGCGUCAUUACAACCCUCAAGCUCAGCUUGGUGUUGGGCCCCGCCGCCCCGGCGGGCCCUAAAGUCAGUGGCGGUGCCGUCCGGCUCCGAGCGUAGUAAUUCUUCUCGCUCUGGAGGUCCGGUCGUGUGCUCGCCAGCAACCCCCAAUUUUUUUCAGGUUGACCUCGGAUCAGGGAGGGAUACCCGCUGAACUUAAGCAUAUCAAUAAGCGGAGGA
rnacentral:misc_RNA from 1 species